rnacentral:tmRNA from 2 species
GGGAAUGUAAUAACUGCAAACGACGAACGUUUCGCACUAGCCGCUUAAUUGCGGUUGCCCCUGAACUGAUUCUCUCUUGGGUCAGCUAGCGCAAGCUAGAUCAGGGUCAUUUACAAGAGAUAAGAUCAUUUCAUGUCACGGGGAAUGGUUCGAAAACUAAGUGAAUCGCCAGCGUGGAACAUGUCAGUCUGUGACUAGCUAGCUAAAUUAAAUGACAUGACUAAGUAUGUAGAACUUGUUGUAGAGGAUUUGCGGACGCGGGUUCGAUUCCCGCCGGUUCCACCA